rnacentral:rRNA from 1 species
CCUACGGGCGUCAGCAGUGAGGAAUAUUGGUCAAUGGACGAGAGUCUGAACCAGCCAAGUAGCGUGAAGGAUGACUGCCCUAUGGGUUGUAAACUUCUUUUAUAUGGGAAUAAAAUGUUCCACGUGUGGGAUUUUGUAUGUACCAUAUGAAUAAGGAUCGGCUAACUCCGUGCCAGCAGCCGCGGUAAUACGGGGGAUCCGAGCGUUAUCCGGAUUGAUUGGGUUUAAAGGGAGCGUAGGUGGAUUGUUAAGUCAGUUGUGAAAGUUUGCGGCGCAACCGUAAAAUUGCAGUUGAAACUGGCAGUCUUGAGUACAGUAGAGGUGGGCGGAAUUCGUGGUGUAGCGGUGAAAUGCUUAGAUAUCACGAAGAACUCCGAUUGCGAAGGCAGCUCACUGGACUGCAACUGACACUGAGGCUCGAAAGUGUGGGUAUCAAACAGGAUUAGAUACCCCUUGUAGUC